rnacentral:rRNA from 1 species
UACGAAGGGGGCUAGCGUUGUUCGGAUUUACUGGGCGUAAAGCGCACGUAGGCGGAUCGUUAAGUCGGGGGUGAAAUCCUGGAGCUCAACUCCAGAACUGCCUUCGAUACUGGCGAUCUUGAGUCCGGAAGAGGUGAGUGGAACUCCUAGUGUAGAGGUGGAAUUCGUAGAUAUUAGGAAGAACACCAGUGGCGAAGGCGGCUUACUGGUCCGGAACUGACGCUGAGGUGCGAAAGCGUGGGGAGCAAACAGG